UAUUAUUUAAUGGAGUAAUUCUUUUCUAGUUUUUCAAAGGCAGUGCUACUUUAGGAAGGGAAAAAGCAAAGAAACGCCAAUUCUUUAUACAAAUUUUUAAAUGUUUCUUGUUUAAAGGAAAAAAAAUUAUUGAUUAUGUAACGUCCCAAAGUUGUUUAAAAAAAAAAAAAGGAGGAAAAUAUUGGUUAUUUUUAAGAAGAGGAAAGUAGGGUUUUUAAUAGGCCUUGGAUACGUGCAAAUAGGACAAAAAAAAAAGUUUUUUUUUUCUCUUUUCCUUCUUCUUCUUCCUCCAGCCGCCCCCUGCUACUGUCGUCCGUUCGGCCUUGCUCCUCCGUGCCAGCCCUUCGUCGGUCGUCUCUCCGUGCGUCGACAGGGUGCAUAGCCAAAGCCGCUCGCCUCCUCUUCCGAUCCGCCCGCCGCUUGACCCGACGUAGCCGUCCGUCCCAGCCGCGCGAGCCCCUCCUUUCGCGCCGCCUGCUUCCGUUCCACGCGAGUCCCAGCUGCACCGAGCUUCUCUUCCGUGCCGCAGGCUUCUGUUCCGCGCCGAGCUUCUCGUCCGCGCGAGUCCUAGCUGCGUCGAGCUUCUCUUCCACGUUAUUGUUCGUCCGCCGCACGUCGAUAGUCGAAGCCCAACGCGCGUCAGAGCUCACCUCGUUCGUUUGCACACCAGAACAGUGUCGGUUGUUACCGAUUCGCGGUUGGUUUCGCCUGAUCCUACUGUUCGGGAAGGUGUGUCUGAAGGGAGUUCUCGAGUAGAGUAAGGUCUUGUUUUGGGACAGUGAGGUAGCUGGUUGCCCUAGGAUGUUGUUAGGCCUGUUGAGAAAUAUUUUUUUUUCAUAUGUGAAACUGUGAUGAAAUCUUUUAUGCUGAAUUUGACGUGUUAAAUUUGAAGUA